CUCUCUCUGUCUCUCAAAGUAAAUAAAUAAACUAAAAAAAAAGCUAACUCAAGUUGAUCCUAAUUACAUAUGAUUUGAUUUAUUUUUUUCCCUAUCAUAAUAGAAGUGUCAUUAAAGAAAAUUUGUCAUCCUAUCAUUGAUUUGCAGUUACUCUGAAGAACAAGAUGGGUUGAUUUCUAAUCUGCCUACAUUCUAGUUGGGUUUAUCUGUACUUUUUACCCCUUCUAUUCCAAUCUCCAUUCCAAAACAGAAAAAAAAAAACUUUCCAAAUUUCAUUACCUGUUUUUUUUUUCCUUUUUAGUGAAUCUGCAAAUAUUCAGUGAAUCCCUGCUAGCUGCAAGCCACUGUGUUUACACUGUGGAUCUUCAGUUAUUAAGGCACCAUCCUGACUCUCUUGGAACCAGGAGGGAGAAUUCCCAGGACAGGGGGCUCUAGGAUGUGCUCCAGUGGCGGGUGUGAAGGAGAGGGAAAGAGGUUACCUGUAAAUCGAUUCUUGAGCCUGAGAACAUAGACCUAUCUGUGCACAGAGGAUUCUGCAGUGAAAACUUCCAAAGAGGAAAACAAAAUACUGUGGGACUGGCUAAUGUCUUUCUUAGCGUUUCAGAAUCGUAUUGAAUGCUGAGAGUUUGUUGAGAAACCAGAGGGCUUUCUCUGAGGUUGAAGUCCAUGUUGUGCUGCCUUCAUGGACUUCACAGAUUGUGCUCUGGCUAGUCAGGGCUUCCCCCUCAAGGCUGAGAUUGGUGGCUGCACUCACUGCUUCACUGCCUUGGGUAUUAAGGACUUUGCCAGGAUGACCACCACGGGGAUUUGAUCGUAAUGCAGUUUUGUUUAUGUGGACAUUUUCUCACUAGAAAAUUGUCCUGCAAAUACCAAUUUGCUUCACAGAAAAUAAUCAACUAGAGGUUAGAUAGUUAUUACCAUCAUUUGGCAAUGGCAACGUGCACAUUUGGGUGUGAAAAAAGGGCCGGAUUCUUAGGUAAGGUAUAAACAUUUUCUAAUCAUCAAAAAUUCAUUCUGAAUUUGAUUAGCUGGAGGAAAUAUCCGUGAAAUAGGAGACCUUGGAUCCACAUGGCAUCAUAUACUUUGGUUCAGUUCUUAUCUGAGCCAGACUUGAUUAUAGGGAUUUAUAAAUUUGAAGGUUCUAGAUGCUACUGAAUUCUUUUUAAAAUGUAGGAGUUCAAUACCAUGAAAUAGGAAAUCAUGAACUUUCUAAUACAGCAGAUAUAUAAAAUUCUACUUUUUAACUAGUAUAUGGGUUAGACCUCUUGGUAUUUUGGGGACUUAAAAAAAUCUUCCAGCUAAUUUAUUCAGAAUAACCCAUAAAUGAGACAUAACAAUUUAUCUGCAGUGAAAACAGGGGACGGGGAGAGACAUAAUUUAUUAGCAAGUAUAAUUUUUGUUGAAAUAGAAUGUGGAAUUAGAAUUCAUUCAUUAAUAAAGUAUAUCCAUUUCCCUAAUACAA